GAUGAACGCUGGCGGGAGGCCUAACACAUGCAAGCCGAGCGGUAUUUGUUCUUCGGAACAGAGAGAGCGGCGCACGGGUGCGGAACACGUGUGCAACCUGCCUUUAUCUGGGGGAUAGCCUUUCGAAAGGAAGAUUAAUACCCCAUAAUAUAUUGAGUGGCAUCAUUUGAUAUUGAAAACUCCGGUGGAUAGAGAUGGGCACGCGCAAGAUUAGAUAGUUGGUGAGGUAACGGCUCACCAAGUCAAUGAUCUUUAGGGGGCCUGAGAGGGUGAUCCCCCACACUGGUACUGAGACACGGACCAGACUCCUACGGGAGGCAGCAGUGAGGAAUAUUGGACAAUGGGUUAGCGCCUGAUCCAGCCAUCCCGCGUGAAGGACGACGGCCCUAUGGGUUGUAAACUUCUUUUGUAUAGGGAUAAACCUACUCUCGUGAGAGUAGCUGAAGGUACUAUACGAAUAAGCACCGGCUAACUCCGUG
rnacentral:rRNA from 1 species